GCCCGGAUGGUGGAAUUGGUAGACACAGGAGACUUAAAAUCUCCCGGCUUCACAGCUGUGCGGGUUCAAGUCCCGCUCCGGGCA
rnacentral:tRNA from 1 species